UGGGGAAUAUUGCACAAUGGGCGCAAGCCUGAUGCAGCCAUGCCGCGUGUAUGAAGAAGGCCUUCGGGUUGUAAAGUACUUUCAGCGGGGAGGAAGGUGUUGAGGUUAAUAACCUCAGCAAUUGACGUUACCCGCAGAAGAAGCACCGGCUAACUCCGUGCCAGCAGCCGCGGUAAUACGGAGGGUGCAAGCGUUAAUCGGAAUUACUGGGCGUAAAGCGCACGCAGGCGGUCUGUCAAGUCGGAUGUGAAAUCCCCGGGCUGAACCUGGGAACUGCAUUCGAAACUGGCAGGCUAGAGUCUUGUAGAGGGGGGUAGAAUUCCAGGUGUAGCGGUGAAAUGCGUAGAGAUCUGGAGGAAUACCGGUGGCGAAGGCGGCCCCCUGGACAAAGACUGACGCUCAGGUGCGAAAGCGUGGGGAGCAAACA
rnacentral:rRNA from 1 species